rnacentral:rRNA from 1 species
CCCUUAUCGUUCGUGGGCUACACACGUGCUACAAUGCGGUACAAGACGGACGCAAAGCCGCGAGGUGGAGCAAAUCCUAAAAGAACCGGUCUCCAGUUCGGAUUGCAGGCUGCAAUUCGCCUGCAUGAAGUCGGAAUCGCUAGUAAUCGCAGGUCAGCAUACUGCGGUCGAAUACGUUCCGGGCCUU